ACUGACACAUAGGGUCAUGUUUAUUGUGUCAAUUUGUUUGUAUAAAUUGAAAAUUAUAGCAACGUCUAAAUUAAGUUACAAAAAUCAUCGGUGUUCUGGUCCGCGAAAAUCCAGAAAAAUUCAGACUCAAUUGAAGCGGAAUUCAUGAUGGUGUAGUUUCGAAAGGUAUUGUGCAAAAUGAAGAGGCAUUCUUGGAAAUAAAAUGUUUUCCUUCAUUAGCCAGAAAAAAUCAGGACAUCCUCACUGCAAUAAAGUAAAAUAAAACAUUUCCUGGGGAUGAAAAUUAUGGAAUUUUGUCUAUGAAUGAAAAACACAAUUAUUACUAGGUACAGGGACAACUACGGAUAACAAAUAUGAAAAAAUGUUAUUUCAUUUGUUGUGUGAUUCCAUCUACACCAACAAGACAUCCACUGCUGGACAUAGGCCUCCCCAGGGAUCUCCACAACUACUGGUCUUGCAAGACCGGCCAAAAUAUCGAGAAAUAAAUAAUAUAAAUAAACAUGAUAAAUAUCCCGUUUUCUAUAAUAGUUAUAAUUAGAAGGCCAUGCAAUGUUGUUACUUAUU